rnacentral:rRNA from 1 species
GAUGAACGCUGGCGGCGUGCCUAAUACAUGCAAGUCGAGCGAACGGACGAGAAGCUUGCUUCUCUGAUGUUAGCGGCGGACGGGUGGGUAACACGUGGAUAACCUACCUAUAAGACUGGGAUAACUUCGGGAAACCGGAGCUAAUACCGGAUGAUACUUUGAACCGCAUGGUUCAAAAGUGAAAGACGGUCUUGCUGUCACUUAUAGAUGGAUCCGCGCUGCAUUAGCUAGUUGGUAAGGUAACGGCUUACCAAGGCAACGAUGCAUAGCCGACCUGAGAGGGUGAUCGGCCACACUGGAACUGAGACACGGUCCAGACUCCUACGGGAGGCAGCAGUAGGGAAUCUUCCGCAAUGGGCGAAAGCCUGACGGAGCAACGCCGCGUGAGUGAUGAAGGUCUUCGGAUCGUAAAACUCUGUUAUUAGGGAAGAACAUAUGUGUAAGUAACUGUGCACAUCUUGACGGUACCUAAUCAGAAAGCCACGGCUAACUACGUG